rnacentral:tRNA from 1 species
UUCCCUGUGGCUCAGUUGGUAGAGCAUGGUGUUUGCAACGCCGGCAUGGUGUUUGCAGGGUUGUGGGUUCGAUUCCCACAGGGGGGC